rnacentral:rRNA from 1 species
AUGGGAGGACAUUCAGGAUUUCCUGUCACUUACAGACGCAUACGACGUCUGUUCGCGUGGCCCAAGAUGAAGGUGCAAAUCAAACAUUAUGUGCAGUGCUGUUCCGUGUGCCAGCAGGCUAAGCCGGACAAGGCGGCCUCUCCAGGUCUGUUAACUCCGUUGCCCAUCCCCAACAAGCCAUGGGACAUGAUUACUAUGGAUUUCGUGGAUGGCUUGCCUCAAUCGAGCAGAUUCAACUGCCUGCUGGUGAUCGUGGAUAAGAGAACCAAGUACAGUCAUUUCUUGCCUUUGGCGCAUCCAUACACGGCAGCAUCUGUGGCUCAACUCUUCAUCCAGCAAGUCUACAAGGUACACGGACUGCCCGGGGCGAUCGUAUCAGAUCGUGACCCUGUGUUCACUAGUCACUUCUGGCAGGAGCUUUUCAAGGCCACAGGUACUCAGCUCAGACUCAACACAGCCAACCAUCCUCAAACGGACGGGCAGACUGAGCGUGUUAACCAAUGCGUGGAAACAUUCCUGAGAUGUUUCACACAAUCAUGUCCCCGGCGGUGGAGUUUCUGGAUACCUUUGGCGCAGUUUUGGUAUAACACUUCUCACCAUUCGGCCAUAGGCAUGACACCCUUCAAAGCUAUGUUCGGGUACGAGCCACGACACUGGGGCAUAACAGCAGAAAACACCUGUUCGGUGCCAGCCCUAAGCUUGUGGCUCGAGGAAAGGGACACGGUGCAGGAACUGUUACAGCAACACUUGAACAGAGCAAAGCAACUGACGAAAAGCCAGGCGGACAAGAAACGAUCAUUCCGUCAGUUUGAAGUGGGCGAUCAAGUCUACCUGAAGCUGCAACCUUAUAUCCAAACUUCCGUCGCACCACGAGCAAAUCACAAGCUGGCGUUCAAGUACUACGGGCCUUUUCCUAUCAUUGGCAAGAUCAACGAUGUCGCCUACAAGCUACAACUCCCGUCACAAGCAACUAUCCAUCCAGUCUUCCACGUCUCGCUCCUUCGACGCGUCCUGAACACGGGUACGACUGUUGAACCUCAGUUACCCCAUUGUUCUGAUGAGCUCGCAGUCCCUGUGGCAGUACUGCAAUCAAGAUGGCGCCAGGAGAAGGGCAAGAUGAGGGAACAAGUGCUCACCCGUUGGUCCAAUUCAGAGGCACUUGGCGAAACCUGGGAAGACAAAGCGAGACUCAAGGAGCGUUUCCCGCUUGCGGAGGCUUGGGGACAAGCCUCAGCUCAAGGAGAGGGGGAUGUCAGCGUCCCUAACGAGGCCGGCCCGCAAGGCAGCUCCAAGGAUCUCGUCCCCACGGUCCCGCGUGCGGCCCGACCCAAGAAGCCCAACCCACGCGUCACCGGCCCAGCGUGGGUUAACUGA